rnacentral:sRNA from 1 species
GACCUAAACCGACAGAAAUGGCGGCAUGGUUGGGAAAGCGCGAUGAACCCAGACAACCUGUCAUUAGGGCGUUCAUCGCGUUAUAGGGGGAAACCCUUAUAGGAGCUUCGGCUCU